UGGGGAAUUUUGCACAAUGGGGGAAACCCUGAUGCAGCGACGCCGCGUGAUUUAGAAGGCCUUCGGGUUGUAAAAAUCUUUUCUAUGGGAAGAAAAUGACAGUACCAUAGGAAUAAGGACCGGCUAAUUACGUGCCAGCAGCCGCGGUAAUACGUAAGGUCCGAGCGUUGUCCGGAAUCAUUGGGCGUAAAGGGUACGUAGGCGGGUAAGCAAGUUAGAAGUGAAAUCCUAUAGCUCAACUAUAGUAAGCUUUUAAAACUGCUCAUCUUGAGGUAUGGAAGGGAAAGUGUAAUUCCUAGUGUAGCGGUGAAAUUCGCAGAUAUUAGGGGGAAUACCGGUGGCGAAGGCGACUUUCUGGCCAUAACCUGACGCUGAGGUACGAAAGCGUGGGUAGCAAACAGG
rnacentral:rRNA from 1 species